rnacentral:rRNA from 1 species
CUACGGGGGGCUGCAGUGAGGAAUUUUGCGCAAUGGGGGAAGCCCUGACGCAGCAACGCCGCGUGAGCGAAGAAGGCCUUCGGGUCGUAAAGCUCUGUCAAGUGGGAAAAAAAUCUUUUGAUCAAUAGUCAAAAGACUUGAUGGUACCACUGGAGGAAGCACCGGCUAACUCCGUGCCAGCAGCCGCGGUAAUACGGAGGGUGCAAGCGUUGUUCGGAUUUACUGGGCGUAAAGAGCGUGUAGGCGGUUUAGCAAGUCAGAUGUGAAAGCCCUGGGCUCAACCCGGGAAGUGCAUUUGAAACUGCUUCACUAGAGUAUGGGAGAGGGGAUUGGAAUUCCUGGUGUAGAGGUGAAAUUCGUAGAUAUCAGGAGGAACACCCGUGGCGAAGGCGAUUCUCUGGACCAAUACUGACGCUGAGACGCGAAAGCGUGGGGAGCAAACAGGAUUAGAUACCCGUGUAGUC